UCGCUACUGCUCAGAACUACCCUCUCCUUAGAGUGCCGAUUCCCCGGAAUUCUGCAGUUAACUUAUUUUUCUUCUUUAGAUCUCAUGCACCACAUAGUGACAUUUCAGUCAAUGAAGAGCCACUUAUAUCACCUAGUGUAAAUACCCUCUAUGAUAUUCACAUAAGGAUGAAAUUACCUAGCAUUUUCAGUGUUAAGCCACAUAUGGCUGUAUUGCCUUCUCAGACUAUUCUAAAUUGCUCACUUGUGGUAUAUGUUUUGCUGUAUGAUUCUUGUGAAUCUAAGUAAACUGGUGUUUAAUUAUGAUUCAUUUGAGUAUGCUUAGACAACAGUAACUCCAUUUUGAACUCUCACAUAAUAAAAGCUGUAAAUGAACUGAAUCGAUGGGUGAUAGCCACCUUGACAACUGUGCACCUAUAUACAAAUAAUAUGGUUGGUAUCUAGGACUUUUUCCCUCCAAUUUUGACAUCUGGAAGCUAACCCACACUUCUGGAUGUGAGACUGAACAACAGUUACUCCAUUUUGUAAUAGGGCCCCAACUUGUCUGCUUCUGUUAUGGAUCACCAGGUAGACAUCGAGUUCCAGGGAUGUGAUGCUUGCCCAACUCCAUAUCUGAAUAUGUUAUCUUAAGGACAAUCUGUAAAAGGUCUGUUUUAUCUCUCUCCUCUGCUUUUGUAUUUCUGCUUGCCAACUUCCCCUGAAACCCCCUAUAAAAACAGCCUCGGACUCUGAGCCAGUUGCCUCUCUAAGCUUGGAGCUUGGAGAGUCCCAUCUGGCCAGACUAAUAAAGGUCUGUUUUACUUCAACAACUUGUCCACUGUGUUCCCUCCCAGGUGAUCUUCGCUGUAGUCAGCUCCUCGGAGCGUUUGGUGAGACACAUGGUCUUACACUGGAGACACACCGGAGAUAAUAUGCCUUCUGGAACCACAACAUUCCGUACCUGUUUGUGUGUUCCCUUGGAGGGGCUGACCUCCCAGAUCACUUGGACAAAUUUUUCUGUGGAUGCAAUAUUUGGCUUAUUACUAAAAUUCUGUGCUUCACUGAUUGUUUUUUACUUAUCUUUACCUAUAUUGCUUAUUUUUGUUUGGUCUGCUUUUGUGUACAUUGCAAUAAACUGCUUAAUUUAGAAACUAUCUUUGUUUCACUUGACUUGUCAUUUGUUGAGAGAAUAAAGAGCCUGC
rnacentral:lncRNA from 1 species